CCUUUUCUUACCAUCUCAGAUUUUUCUUUUAAUUCAAAUAGACUCCAAAAAAAUGUGAAUCUAUUUGAGCCAGUCCUAUUUGUUAUAUAUGUACAUAUAUACACACAUAACCAAAUGUGCAUAUUUUAUACACACACGCAAACACAUGACACAGAGUGCACCCAAUAUUAUAGUACAUGUAAUACACAGUCACGGAAAGCACCUGAACAUGAGAAGAAUUGACUAUGUUGUUGAUAUGGUCAUUCUGUGAAAUGUCUCCAGUGGCUUGUCGUCCUGCCAUUCAGUAGUUAUUUCCAGUACGAGCCUAAGAAAGACGUGGUCUUCGUGAGGAUUUAGACCUGGCAAGCUCAAUGCGGAACCAAAGGAUGAGCGAAAUCGGUUGCAGUGGUGGUUUAUUUACACCAAGACACACACCUCUUUACCUUGGCCGGAGGCCACGCAGGCAUGGGGAAAGGUUUUGCCAACGUACUCGCAAGGAUUCCCAUGGUUUCCUUUGCUCCCAGCUGUUGUGCGGGCUGGGUUUUUGGAGCAAAGGCAACGGAUACUGCUGAGGCUCCUGAGAGUGUCUCGUUUUCGAGGCUGCAGUAGCUCCAGUGUCCGGUUCUGCGGUACCGAGAGGGAGGCCUCAGGCUCCGAGGGGAAGUGUUGCAGUUGGUCCUAGAGCCCCAAGCCCAGCAAAGCCUCCGGUUCCCUGCUGGGGCGCACCUCUCGCUGAAACUCUUGCUCUCUGACUGGAGAAUGGAAUGGCCUCAACCAAGGCUCCCGGAACCAGCCCUGCCGCUCCCUCUUGUGAUCCCAUUCUCAAGAGCGGCUUUCUGCGCCGCGUGGCAUCUCCUUCGCUUCAGCGCCCUUGUGCGACUAUUGCGGCAACUACUUAGGCUCCUACGGGACGAGGAGAGGGAGAUAUCCAUACGGCCAUUUAAAAUAUUCAAGGCAUAGCGAACGAUGCUGAGCAGAGGAGGACAAGAAGAAAGAGCAGUUUAUUUUAUAGGAAGACGGUGGCUGGUUCGAUUGGCUCACUACCCGUCUAGGAGUUAACCCAGGCUUGGAGGCCUGCAUGGCCUGUGCCGAGAGGCUCUCAGGCGCCCUCUGCUGUCGAGUUGGCCACUUGUUCCCGAGGGUUCUGGCUUCGCACCUGGCUCUCUCGACCAGCGCCUUCCAAACUCGCUUUUCACAAAUGGCCCUUUCUCACCAUUUGUGGGCCGAUGUGAUUCUAGGAGGUAAUGUGAACUCUGAUGAGUGAUGUGGGGUAAAGUGGAGCUUGGAGAGAGGGGCUGGCAUGGGGAUGUAUGGAGCCUGAGAGGUAAUAUACAGAUUAGGGAAUUGUGAAGGGGAGUCUAUGGGGUAGGGGUGGAAUUAUGUGAGUUUGCUGGGGUGAGGGGUGGAUGGGAAUGUGAAGCCUGUGGGUUGCUGUGUCACCAAGUCCUACUUUCCACUAUAUGAGCAUGGUCCUGGCAUAAUCCAAACCUUGGUGUCUCCUGCACCCCACAGGCCUUAGCUUCAAUCAGGGGAAUGGCAGAAAGCUUUUGUGCAGUUUCCUAGUCACAUUUUGUUUGUUUGUUUGUUUGUUGAUAUGGAGUUUUGCUCUUGUUGC
rnacentral:lncRNA from 13 species